rnacentral:rRNA from 1 species
UACGGAGGGUGCAAGCGUUACCCGGAAUCAUUGGGCGUAAAGCGUCCGCAGGCUGUUUGUUAAGUAAGAUGUUAAAUUUUGCAGCUCAACUGUAAAACUAUAUCUUAAACUGGCUAACUUGAGUAUUGGAGAGGUGUGCAGAAUUCUGUGUGUAGGGGUAAAAUCCGUAGAUACACAGAGGAAUACCAAAAGCGAAGGCAGCACACUGGCCAAUUACUGACGCUCAUGGACGAAAGCGUGGGGAGCGAAC